rnacentral:rRNA from 1 species
AGCGAACGCUGGCGGCAGGCCUAACACAUGCAAGUCGAGCGCCCAGCAAUGGGAGCGGCAGACGGGUGAGUAACGCGUGGGGAUCUGCCCAAUGGUACGGAAUAACCCAGGGAAACUUGGACUAAUACCGUAUGUGCCCUUCGGGGGAAAGAUUUAUCGCCAUUGGAUGAACCCGCGUCGGAUUAGCUAGUUGGUGAGGUAAAGGCUCACCAAGGCGACGAUCCGUAGCUGGUCUGAGAGGAUGAUCAGCCACACUGGGACUGAGACACGGCCCAGACUCCUACGGGAGGCAGCAGUGGGGAAUAUUGGACAAUGGGCGCAAGCCUGAUCCAGCCAUGCCGCGUGAGUGAUGAAGGCCUUAGGGUUGUAAAGCUCUUUCGCCGGUGAAGAUAAUGACGGUAACCGGAGAAGAAGCCCCGGCUAACUUCGUGCCAGCCGCCGCGGUAAGAC